rnacentral:rRNA from 1 species
GCGAAAACUUUACAAUGCUGGCAACAGCGAUAAGGGAGCCUCGAGUGCCAGGUUACAAAUCUGGCUGUCGAGAUGCCUAAAAAGCAUUUCAUAGCAAGGGCCGGGCAAGACCGGUGCCAGCCGCCGCGGUAACACCGGCGGCUCGAGUGGUAACCGUUAUUACUGGGUCUAAAGGGUCUGUAGCCGGCCGGAUAAGUCUCUUGAGAAAUCUGGCAGCUUAACUGUCAGGCUUUCAGGAGAUACUGUCUGGCUCGAGGCCGGGAGAGGUGAGAGGUACUUCAGGGGUAGGGGUGAAAUCUUGUAAUCCUUGAAGGACCACCAGUGGCGAAGGCGUCUCACCAGAACGGACCUGACGGCAAGGGACGAAAGCUAGGGGCACGAACC